rnacentral:sRNA from 1 species
GCUGGGUGUGGUGGCACAUGCCUGAAAUCCCAGCAACUCUGAAGGCUGAGGCAGGAGGAUUGCAAGUUUGAGGCCAGCCUCAGCAACUUAACAAGGCCUUAAGCAACUUAGCAAGACCCUGUCUCAA